rnacentral:rRNA from 1 species
CGUUGAUUACGUCCCUGCCCUUUGUACACACCGCCCGUCGCUACUACCGAUUGAAUGGCUCAGUGAGGCGUCCGGACUGGCCCAGAGAGGAGGGAAACCACCACUCAGGGCCGGAAAGCUCUCCAAACUCGGCCAUUUAGAGGAAGUAAAAGUCGUAACAAGG